ACACCAGCAAAGGGAGUGGGCAGGGAGCCGCCAGCUUGGAUCCAUCUCUGGGUGCUGGGGCUGCCUUCACAGACUCAGCUGAGUUGGAAAAGGGCUCUGAGGUCAUUGAGCACAGGCUGUGACCGAACACCACCUUGUCAACUAGACCGUGGCAAUAAGUGCCACAUCCAGUCUCUCCUUAAAAUGCCUCCAGGGAUGGUGACCAUCAGUCUCCCUGAGCAGCCUAUUCCAGUGUCUAAUCACCCCUUCUGUGAAGAAAUUCCUCCUAAUGUCCAUCCUAAACCUCCCCUGGCACAGUUUAAGACUAUGUCCUCUUGUCCUGUCACUAGGGUCUGGGAGAAGAGACCAACCCUCACCUGUCUACAGCUUCCUUUCUGGGACUCAUAGUGAGCUUAGAUAAGGCCUCCUCUGAGCCUCAUCUUCUCCAGGGUAAACAAGCCCAGCUCCCUCAGCCAUUCCUCAUAGGACUUGUGUUGAAGACCCUUCACCAGCUUCAUUGCCCUUUUCUGGACCUUAAAAUACCUUAAUUCAAUUUUGCUGAUUUGGAGUUCUAAAUAGGAGCAUCCACAUCCCCAGUCCUCCAUGACAGGAUGGCACAGAGUCCGAUGGCUCAGGUCACUGCAGAAUUUUUUUUUCCUUCAUAUAGCAUGAGUGCUUUGUAAACAUUUGACAAAUGGGCUGAAUGUUACCAGGACUCAGUGCCAUUCAAAAAUAGCCUCCAGAACACCUCGCCCAUAAAAGCCAUGUGUGGCUUUCAUGCUCCAUUUGUACAGACAGUGUGUGAUGAUGGGUGGGAUAUACAUUUUUUGGUAGCUGCAGUCCCUCAAGUCUCCAGUAGGCCUGGUGGAUACAUCAAUGCAUACACGAGGGGAAACGUGAAAGAGCAGAUUGCCAUGUCAUGUGCUUAAGGAGCUCCAAAGUAAGUAGUGUCAAGAUCCAACGGCCCAGUAUUGUUACACAUAUGUGGAAAUUUCUGCUGUCCACCAAACGCUCAGCUAAGACAACACUUUAGGAAAGGCACAAUUAUUGGCUUGGCAAAUGCAGCAUGAGACAGAACAAGCUGUGCAAAUUGCCUUCCUUAAGUCUUAGAGGAGUCAUCAUCCCUGAAGUUCUUGGAUGUAACUCUCAGGAGAAUGUAGAAAUCAAGCCACAUGGAGCUGAGUGUCCAAAAUCCCCAGUUUUCUACAGCCAGUAGAAAAAAUGCUCCCAGCAUCUUCUUGGAGCAAUACAGGGUGGAAAAGCAUCAAUAUUGGCAUAGCCCUGAAAUAGUCAUUUGUGUAAGCCCUUCGUCGCCCACGGGAUUUUGUCUGCGCAGGCAAGAUCCGUGUUAAUCUGGAGCCUGAGCCAAAGGACUCCUGGGCAGUUUCUGCCAGAUCACAGGUCUAUCACAUGCUAAGCAUGCAGACAGGGAAUGACAUUUUACAUUCCUUGCCUACUAGCAGCUAUAGUAAAUAAUCAAUUAGUUGCACUUUGAACAAUUUGGUUCACACCUUCUCCUGACUUAGACUACAUUUCUGGCAAGUAGAGUGCAAUACAUAAACUUUGCAGAAGCUCUUUCUGUUUGUCCAUGUCCUGUUGUAGGGUUUCAGAACCCAUUUAUGUUAUGGCUUUAAAGUUAUUUCCAAGUGUACUGAAUUGUUUAAACUAAAGAUUAUGCUACUGUUUGCCUGGCAGUGCAUUGUAAUGUCUAAAGAACAAUCCUGGCUAUGUCUUUUGUCCAUAUAUUUAGAAGCAUAUCAUUCUUGUACAGGCACAAAUUGUGUGUUUGUUCUACAUAUGAAGUACUGUUGAAAGAAAGGGAAAUGCAUUCCUCCCAACAGCUGCUGCUCAUUAUUUCAGUAAAAGAAAAUCUACUUCCAAAAAGCUGUUCACAUGUACUAUUCUAGAAGUGCUCCCAAGCUGCCACAUCGGGACCACUAUUGAGCCAUACACAACAGCGUACUGUAGAAUUACACAUUUCACAAAGUUGGGAAUUUCCAGCACUGUUACCACAUCUAGAAAUUGAAAUUGGGGAAUUUCUUCAUGCUCACAUUCAGAGCUUGAUUACAAGUCCAUGGUAGUCUAUGAAAGUCUUUUCAGGAAUUUCACAAUGCUUGAGGACCUGCCCUCCGCAGAUGAAAGUCCAUGGAAUCUUUUAUAGAUCCCACUGCUAAGUUGUCUUUACUGGGGAAGAAGCUUAGAAGGAAGCAUAAAGUUAAGUUUGCAGGUUUAGUAGAGAUCUACCUCAUAUCUGGUUAGCUCUGCCCUUGUCCAUGUGUCUUCAGUUGUUUUAUCCAAACAAAAAUAAAACUGGAUUCCAGUUUUAUAAUAGUCUUUUAAUGACACUUUACAAAGAUUGGAAAGUCAAGGUUCACUGGCAUCACAAUUUCAGUAUUGUUCCUCAAAGAGCUGUUUUGGAAAAAUCCACACUUCCCAAAUGCUUCAAUUUAGCAAAGUUUAAGAAGAAAUUCAAGACUGUAUUAUCAACUUAUAAAUCCAUCUGUCAAUAAGAUCUAACAAAAGCUGAUGUUUGGAUGCAAAGAUUUUAUUGCCUUUGAGCUAACAGUAUCAACUGCCUGAUAAGCAGAGCAUUUCUGCUAAUAUUUGGAGAAUAAACCUUGACUGCUGGACUUAUUUCCUAUCACUGAAGCAAAGGGAAGGAUUCUUGAAGUUCCCAUUGACUUAACUGGGAAUUAAAUCAGAACCUGUGCCAAAAGUAAAAUGCAAGUAGCUCUGCAGCAUUAAAAUAGUGAAACUGCUUUGUUAGUGGAGAUGCUGAUUUGUGUGAGUUUUAUCAUUUAAAUGCAGUAAUUGUAGGUUAUUGGGACAAGCAGUUUUGCCACCACCACAAAUCAAAGGUAUCAUCAGGGAAUGUCAGUGAGGUUUUGUGCUCACUGAAUCUUGUCUGCUGUGGGGGGAAAAGGCUGAGUAGUGCUUAAUGAUUAGAUAGAUCCAGUUUCUGCCUUGCCAGUGCCUUGGUCAGCAGUGUAGUGCACAGCACACAGUUUUCUGAGACUCCAGAAUGGCAAAGAAUGAACUGUUAACAAAUAAGGAACAGCAUGUGAUGGAGGGAAAUUUGAAAAUUAUGUUAUAGUCAUGAAGGGAGCUAAUUUUAUAUUGUUAACACAAUGUUGUGAUCAAUUGCAUGAAGUCAUAUUCUACCUGCCUCGUUAAUAAACAAUUUAUAAAGCACAGGGAAGGGCAGACUGAGGAGCAGUAUGUACCUUUGCAUUCAGAAGGCUCUUUUAAAAGACUAAUGUAAAGGAGUGCUUCAAUAAAAUUAAUUUGCCAUAUGCAAAAGAUUUCUUACAAGGCUGACCAAAUUCUUGUCAGCCUAAUGAGAGGCCAAAAAUAUGUUUGCAAAGCCUGUCUUUUUGCAAAUCUUGCUGCACAGAAAAAUAAUUGCAACUUUUGUCGUGAAAACACGAGCUCCAGCAUUCAGGGAAACAGUGCACCAUUUUGCAGAAUGGAACACGAGGUCAUUUUGGGUGCAUGCUCAUUAAGGAAAGGAAUUGCAUUGGAAUGUAGGAGGGUUGAGAGUAAGAAUUCGAAGCUCCUAUGUCUGCAAGAAAACAGGGCAGUAUAUAUGCCACGGUGACUUCUGAUGUACAGACACCAUACUGAAAUUCUAAAAAUGUUAAGGAUGUAAAUUAGCUGUACUGAAGAUCACAGUCACUAUAAGUUGUCCAUCAGCUCUCCCUGAACUCAUUAGUCACCUAUUAUCCUUGAGCAUGUACAGGAAUGCCUGCUGGGCCUGGGCUUUACUCAGGCUCCAGUUCAGCAAGACUUUUAAAGGCCAUGCACAGGGUUAAACAAGUCCUGUAAUUUCACUGAAUCUGGAGAAUGCCAACAAGGCUGAAGUCAGCAGCCUCACCAUGAGGUACAACACGCCUUGCCACUGGCUCCCAGAGACAGUUUAGAUGUGCACGUUAAGGCAUGGGAACGCUGCAAAUCCAAGGAGGAUCCUGCAGAUCCUCUCUGUGAGUCAGUUCCAUUCACUGCUCAGCAGUGAAGCUGCGCUGUGAGAAACAGCAUUACAUCUGUCAAGAAAGAAACAAUUGAAUAAUGACAUUUGAAACCUGAACUGUGAUUUGAGGGUCAAGAAUAGAGGAAUCUAGAUCGCCUUGUCAUACAGAGGUAGUUGUUAACAGGACAAUACCGGGGUUGUAGAAUUAUUUUUUUUUUAAUACUUCUACAUUUGAAGAGUAUUUUAAGGCAUUUUUAAGAAACCACCCUGAUGAUGGGAAGUAAUGAUUGUCCCUUGGACUUCACUUUCUCACAUCAUCUCUUCAAGUGCCCAUCCUGGGCUUGACCCUGAUUGAAUGAAAUCCAUGAGUGUUUGAGGUCAGACCAAGGUCUCUCUAAUGCUGUAUUCAACCUGCACCGAGCGGAAGUGCUAUGGAGCUAACACAAACAUUGAAUUUUAAAGAGCUGGGCUAAUUUUCACUUCCUCCGUCUUUUUAAUUAGAACAUUGAUUUAUUUUUACACUGUUGCAGGCUGGUAGCAGUGUAGUCUGGGGCUGGACUGAAAGUGCUUGAUUUCCUCUAAAGUGUUGUGUUUACUCGCCCAAAUGUGCCACUACUCCCACAGAAAUGCAAUACUCAAUACAUCUCAAGUGUUUACACAACACCAUUGUAAAGCAGACAGUAAAUUACUUCCUUUAUGGAUAGAUCUGUGGGUACAUUCUGCUCAUGGCUUUAUUAACUGAAUAUUAAUGAUUAAUGAAAAAAAAAAGGCAUGAAGAAUAGUUAAACCAACUUGUUAUACUUUUAGGAUAAUAUAAAGUUUACUGACUGCUGUAGCAUGCCCUUUUGCAUCCUGCAUGUACUGCCUCCUACACAUGCUCUAGUGAAGGCCCUGGCACAACCUACAGCAGCCUGUUUCUGGCCCAGAACACCUGGAGCCAGCCUGAGAAUCGUUACUUUACAUAUCAGAUUAAAAGCAAUCUAUUAUUAAAGAUUUCUCUUCUGUCUCUGUCUGGGACAAAAAACAGGCAUAGGCAUUUAGUUUGAGUUGAAGACAAACAACUGUACUGUCCAGGAUCAUUUCAAUUUUCCCCAGUUACCUCAGAUUUUUAUAAUUGCUGAACAACUUAUUUGUUCCAUUUGUGUCAUCUCAAGUUUUCUAAGAAACAUAGAACUCACCUCUUCCACCUCUACUCAUGUUGUAAUAAGAUUGCAUAAGAAAUCAGGUAAUAGCACCAUGGCUAAAUGUAGCAGAAUCAGGCUGGUACCAGAUGACUGGCACAGACAUGGAGUCUCAAUCUGGUGUUUGAUAAAGCCCAUAAACAGCUGGAUUGCUGUGAUCCUGUGAUUGGCUUGACAGAAUCAGCCUAAUUCUGUCCCCGCACGAGUGCAAAACAAUUUCUGACUUUGUCCCUGUGCACUUCAUGCAGGUCUUUGGAUUACACUUAAACCAUGAACACAGUUCAAUGUUAUCAUUUCACAUUAACAAGGGUUGGCUGAGAGGCUAAUCUAAAGUAACCAAUUAAGAAUUACCAUGGAAGCCUGUCAUAGUGAAGUCAUGGAAUUUUCUCCACUAAACCUCUCGGUCACAGGCCUGGUCCCACUGUCUUGACUGAAGGUCUCUGGCAGGAUUGCAAGCUUGAGUCCUGUGGGAAGGGGUUCACUUACAGGCACCACUAGCUUGCAUUGAAACAACCUCCAGCUUUCAUUCUCUUCUCCACAAGCAGGGUUUCACUGCAGCUGAGUUUACCAUAGAAGGGUGACACAGAAUUAAUUACUGUGUCUAAAAUUACUCAGUUACCUUUUUCCCAAUAUUUUUCCUGAUCUUCUGAGAUAGCUUCAGGAUGGAAGUUUGAAUCCAUCGGGUUACUGGAUACAUUUCUUCUCAAGGGAGAAAUAAGCAAGUUACCAAAAGAACAAGAAAAUAACUUAAAUCCACAUUUAAAUCUUGCAUGUACUUCUCAGUGAGAGUUUUACUGCUUGGAUUUUUUUAAGGAUUGUCAUUACAAAAUAAAUCUUCUAACCCUGUGCAGUUUCUGCAAUCAUUUUCCCAUGCAAUAGCAAUUUAAACAAAAUUGUUUUGACUAAAGUUAAAAAACUCAAUCUCAGAAAUUUACAGCCACAAUAAGAAUCAGUGGUUAGAGAUUUUAGAGGCAGCAGAGAUUAUUUUGAUUAUCUGCCUUGUCUAACAUGAAACUCAGGUUGUCAGUUAGGAAUUCCAGUAACUUUUGUUUAGGACUUUGUUUGAGUUAGAUUGUCCUGCUGAAAUUUAACACCUGCAAAAGCAAACAAACCUUUUUUUUUUAGUUCUUAUUUAAGCCAUUAUUUACUCACCAUUGAUGUGUGGUGGCAUUUGAAACACAAUACUUAAUUGCUACUUGAAGCACAGAAAAAGACAUCAUUUCAAAUACUACACAUUGGAAACCAUGGGGAAAAUGAUGGCCACAAUUGUACUUGUUUGAAACAACACCACUAUUUUGAAUGUCCUUAGCACUGCACGAACUAUAUUGCACACUGCAUUUUAAGGCAAUUUCUGUAAAGAGGGGUUGGUGCUUUGCUUUAACAUUCCUUUUUUUUUUUUUAACUAAGGGUGCAGACUGAACUCUGAGACAAGAAAGAACAUUGUGCAAUACUCUGUGCUGUUAUCUAAAGAAUAUUGUUUCUUAUCUCUCUGGAUUUGUACAGCACAGCAUGGCUAAACUUUAGUGAUGAGUGAGCAGUUAUUUCAGGCGACAGGGGUGGAGGGCAUUGAGAGGAAUGCAGGGAAGGAGUACAUUUAGAUAUCUGAAAAGAUAAUACAUUAGAAGAUUAUUCCUUGAUGUUAGAUUUCUUGCCUGUGGGAUCAGGAGAGUUCCCAUACUUCAAACACAACGGGAAAAAACUGUGUGUUGCUAGAGAUGAUUGCACUUGGAUAGAAAUAAAGUGUGUGAAGUGCUUUCGUUAGUCCUGUCCACGUGACUUUCUGGGAGCACCUUAGGUGCAGCUUUCCAGGAGGUCCCUGAACCCUCCCAGGCACAUUUUCUCUACGGAGAGGCUCCACCUGUGAGACCAGUGUCUUGCUUUGCCAGUGUGUCCAGCUGUUACUCCACCCUGUGAAUCAGCUGUACAUGCACAUCCUGUUUUGCUGUCAUCUCUAAGGCCCUUUUGGUUUUUUUUCCUGCCUCACCAUGUCAAACAGGUAAAGGGAGACCAGGCCAGUGGCCAGAACUCUCAGCUUUCCCAUUCUGUGCUGCUGUCCUGCCUGGCAGAGCAGCCAUGCAGGGCUGGGCAGGGAAACCACCCCGCAGGUCUGGACUGCCAUGUAGACGGCUGAGCCCUUCUUGCAGGCUUUUGCAAACAGGGCUCAAAGACCACAUUCCCUAUGGGUGGCAGGCAAGAAGCCACUUGCAUCCCUCCACCCAGAACACUCAGACACUCUGAAGUGAGUCUGUCCUGGGCGCUUCAACGCGCUGGGUCACAAACAGGCCAUGAUACCUGGCACGGCCCAGGAUACCUAUGACAGCAGCCUGAGUGCUCACAGCAAUGGCCCUACAUCGGAACGCUGCAAAAGGAGGCCACGGCUUGAUGCUGUCCUUCCCUCUCCCUCUACAGCUGCCAUAGCAGGCAGAACACAGCCAGGGAGAACAACAAAGGACAACCCACUUUCUCACAGGAAAAUGUCUCACGUAACAGCAUAGCAUGCCUUAGGGAGAUAUGGUUCAUCCAGGACUACAAGGUGUUCCCAGCUCUUGUGCUCCUGGUCUCACUGGGGAACAAACUGGGCCUGGCUUUGGAGAUGAUCCAAGGUGGAGGGACACAACACCCUACUUCUGGAGUCCAGCAGCACCUCACCCUUCUCCUCCUACACUGGAAACACUUCAAGAGACCAAAGAAUUCAUCAUGCCACCUGUACAAGAUAACCAGCCUAUUAAAUAAAUGAACUGCUGAGCUGUGUUCUUCCUAGGAACAAAUCAAGUCUGUUUGACAUCCUGGUUACAUCCAAGGCAGCUUGUCAACUUUAUUUUGAAGGCUUGAGUGCUACUCAGGUAAUACCCAGGUCCUGAGUUACCUGCUGUAAACAGGUGAAAUUCACCCAGUAUUUUAAAGGAGGCACAUUGAUAUUUUCCAAAGUGUUUUGGUGAGUUGCUAGCCAACAUGCUACAAGACUUGUUGUUUAUCUUUUGUGUCAUGCGUCAGAGGUAAUUACUUCACAGGGUAGGUGUGUCAUUGGGAAGCACUGAAAACUCCCUUUGUUUCAGGUUACCUGCAUGCCUCAGUGUGGCAGGUGAACAGUAAUCAACCUGAUCCCCUUCUCCUCCAGCAAGGCCUCACAGAAGUUAUUUGGUUUGGUAGCCUCUUUGUUUCUGAGUUACUGCCUUUAAGGCAGCUGGGGCUGAUUAGAUAAGGUGACUGUGUAUCUGCAGCCUUGACAUAAAAUGGAUUUAGUUUGCCCUCAGUGUUUAGCAGGGUGGUUGAAAACCAAUUAAGGAUAUAUGUAGCCAUUUGUAAAUUGUAUAUGAGCUGUUUGCUAUGAAACACAAAUAUUUUUUUCUCAUGAAUGAAUAUUUAAUUGAGGUACAGUUCCAGGUAAGCCCUUGCAAACUACCAGAGUUAAAAUUCAGGUUUGGUGAAAGUAGGCAGUGUUCUACUUUGUUUAGAAAUGUCACCCUGCUUGUACCUCCCUUGUACUUGGUCUUACGUCUUCAUCAGUGCCCGCCUGUUUUCAGCAUUAUUGUUAUCACAGAGCAAACAGAGGAUUUCCCAAGAGACAGGUGGAUACUUGUACUUCAGACUCCAGCUCGGUGUCUUACUCAUGAUACACUGAGGUCAAAACUAGUCUCUUUUAUCUGUGUGAAGAAUCUCCAUUAGUAUAUUCUCUCCUUACUCAGUGCUGAGAGCUCCCUGUGCAGCCUGCACUGCUGUUGGGAAGCUGCAGUCUGAGGGGAGAACAAACUUCAUCUCCUAAUGGCACUUGGAAAUGUUCGUGUCUGCAGCAGACGCAAGUGAUGCAGAGCAGGAGAGAUAAUGUAUGGACCAGUAAUAAACUGCAUCCCCAGUAUUGCAUAUUUUCUGUUUCUCUCACUAUUAGAUGCAGUCUUUCACCAGUCUUACACUACAAAAGGUUCACUAGUCUUGCACUAAAAUAAUGUUCAAAGGGAGAGAGCCUUGUUUCAUAGAGCACUUAAAUCAGGCUAGGCAAAAUAUGAGAAGAUGUCUGAAAGAGCUAGUCCCAAAUGGCAAAAUAGGCUAGAGUGAUAUUUGGGACCUCUGAAC